UACGUAGGGUGCAAGCGUUAAUCGGAAUUACUGGGCGUAAAGCGUGCGCAGGCGGUUAUGUAAGACAGUUGUGAAAUCCCCGGGCUCAACCUGGGAACUGCAUCUGUGACUGCAUAGCUAGAGUACGGUAGAGGGGAUGGAAUUCCGCGUGUAGCAGUGAAAUGCGUAGAUAUGCGGAGGAACACCGAUGGCGAAGGCAAUCCCCUGGACCUGUA
rnacentral:rRNA from 1 species